rnacentral:sRNA from 1 species
UGAACAGAUUAACACUCUUUGAUCAGGAAUUGAGUGUACUAUAACUAAUAAAUCUGGUAGUUAAUACUAAUACACCCUACAGACUUUACAGUUAGAGUUAGAGUUUAACAUGCAUGGUUAGAGUUUAACAUGCAUGACUAGAUAGAUAAGUUACAUAGUAGUACAGUUACUCCUGUAACAGUCCAGUACAGACUUUACACCUGCACUACUUGCAAUAGUAGAGAUACAAACUUAAUGCAGAGACUUGCUGGACUUACUUUUGAAAAACAAAAAAGAUAAAAUUGUGAAACAUCAAGAAAAAAGUGUCUGCAGUGUUUAUUUAAUGUAAUUAUGACAUAAGUGUCUUAUGAUUAUCACACGGUGUACAUAAACCAUAAUUUAAUUAUUAUGGCAUUUAUGGUUGUUAAAGCAAGAUCAUCCAUGAGAAUGGCCUCUAGGAAUUUAAUAUUUCAACUGUUUGUGAUCUUUAUCUGUCUUUGUUGGAUUCAUGAUUAUACAACUGAAGCUUGUGGAGGUGUAACUCAUAUUGAAAUAAGUAAGUUCUUUGGUUGCAUAGAGGUAUGUUAAUACUGUCCUCUGUGUGUGUUUUUUUAAAUUGAAUUAUUAUUUUUUUCUAAGUCUUAGUUUGCAUGAAUAAUGUAUUAAAUGUCGAGGUCACACAUAGACGGAGAAAAGAACAUCUUAAUCAACCACUGGUGGACAAUGGUUAUGCUUGCCCUGGAUCUGGCAAAAUAUGUAGGUCACAGCUGGGGCUGCGUAGCCACACGAAACACUGCAUUCCUCAUUAAUCUUCGGACUCGAAGACAACACUUAUUAUUAUUUACGCAAAUGCUACACAAACUAUUGCUAAUGGUCCUCACUUUCCUGGGGGUUACAAAAAAAUUGUUAUAGUUAGUUUGUUAUGAAUAAUAUAUACAUCUUAAUUAUGUAUCAGUUUAACACUUUAAAUAUCAGAGAAUCAUAUUUGGCACUGAUAUAUAUAAUAUCUGGACUUUUA